UCCACACUGUAAACGAUGAUAACUCGCUGUCGGCGAUACAUAGUCGGUGGCCAAGCGAAAGCGAUAAGUUAUCCACCUGGGGAGUACGACCGCAAGGUUGAAACUCAAAGGAAUUGACGGGGGCCCGCACAAGCGGAGGAACAUGUGGUUUAAUUCGAUGAUACGCGAGGAACCUUACCCGGGCUCGAACGGUGCAUGAAUGAUUCAGAGAUGGAUCAGUCCUUCGGGACAUGUAUCGAGGUGCUGCAUGGUUGUCGUCAGCUCGUGCCGUGAGGUGUCGGCUUAAGUGCCAUAACGAGCGCAACCCUUGUCGUUAGUUACC
rnacentral:rRNA from 1 species